rfam:Hordeum vulgare subsp. vulgare, WGS project CAJW01000000 data, contig: morex_contig_1597048
CUAAUACUUCCUCCGUCCGGAAAUACUUGUCCUAAAAAUGAAUAUAAUGAUUGUAUCUAUAACUAAAAUAAGUUUAGAUAUAUUCAUGUUUAGGACAAGUAUUUCCGGACAGAGGGAGUAUGUU